GUGGGGAAUAUUGGACAAUGGGCGAAAGCCUGAUCCAGCCAUGCCGCGUGUGUGAAGAAGGUCUUCGGAUUGUAAAGCACUUUAAGUUGGGAGGAAGGGCAGUAAGUUAAUACCUUGCUGUUUUGACGUUACCGACAGAAUAAGCACCGGCUAACUUCGUGCCAGCAGCCGCGGUAAUACGAAGGGUGCAAGCGUUAAUCGGAAUUACUGGGCGUAAAGCGCGCGUAGGUGGUUCAGCAAGUUGGAGGUGAAAUCCCCGGGCUCAACCUGGGAACUGCCUCAAAAACUGCAUGACUAGAGGACGGUAGAGGGUAGUGGAAUUUCCUGUGUAGCGGUGAAAUGCGUAGAUAUAGGAAGGAACACCAGUGGCGAAGGCGACUACCUGGACUGAUACUGACACUGAGGUGCGAAAGCGUGGGGAGCAAACAGGAUUAGAAACCCGGGUAGUCC
rnacentral:rRNA from 1 species